UGAAUACUCCCUCCGUUCUGAAUUACUUGUCGCAAGUAUGAAUGUAUGGAGAUCUAUUUUAGUUCUAGAUAUAUCCAUUUCUGCGACGAGUAAUUUGGAACGGAGGGAGCAGAAC
rnacentral:pre_miRNA from 1 species